GACGAACGCUGGCGGCGUGCUUAACACAUGCAAGUCGAACGGAAAGGCCCUGCUUUUGUGGGGCGCUCGAGUGGCGAACGGGUGAGUAAAACGUGAGUAAACUGCCCUUGAAUUUGGGAUAACUUCAGGAAACUGGGGCUAAUAUCGGAUAGAAGCUCCUGCUGCAUGGUGGGGGUUGGAAAAUUUCGGCGGUUGGGGAUGGACUCGCGGCUUAUCAGCUUGUUGGUGGGGUAGUGGCUUACCAAGGCUUUGACGGGUAGCCGGCCUGAGAGGGUGACCGGGCACAUUGGGACUGCGAUACGCCCCAGACUCCUACGGGAGGCAGCAGUGGGGAAUAUUGCGGAGUGGGCGGAAGCCUGAUGCAGCAACGCCGCGUGCGGGAUGACCGCCUUCGGGUUGUAAACCGCUGUCGCCUGUGACGAAGCGUGAGUGACGGUAAUGGGUAAAGAAGCACCGGCUAACUACGUG
rnacentral:rRNA from 1 species